rnacentral:rRNA from 1 species
CAGUAGCCGCGGUAAUACGUAGGUGGCAAGCGUUGUCCGGAAUUAUUGGGCGUAAAGGGCUCGCAGGCGGUUUCCUAAGUCUGAUGUGAAAGCCCCCGGCUCAACCGGGGAGGGUCAUUGGAAACUGGGAAACUUGAGUGCAGAAGAGGAGAGUGGAAUUCCACGUGUAGCGGUGAAAUGCGUAGAGAUGUGGAGGAACACCAGUGGCGAAGGCGACUCUCUGGUCUGUAACUGACGCUGAGGAGCGAAAGCGUGGGGAGCGAACAGGAUUAGAUACCCCUGUAGUCCCUGUCUCUUAUAC